rnacentral:rRNA from 1 species
AACGAACGCUGGCGGCAGGCCUAACACAUGCAAGUCGAGCGAGCAUUUCGGUGCUAGCGGCGGACGGGUGAGUAACGCGUGGGAACGUGCCCUUUUCUGCGGAGUAGUCCUGGGAAACUGGGGGUAAUACCGCAUACGCCCUUAUGGGGAAAGAUUUAUCGGGGAAGGAUCGGCCCGUGUUGGAUUAGGUAGUUGGUGGGGUAAUGGCCCACCAAGCCGACGAUCCAUAGCUGGUUGGAGAGGAUGAUCAGCCACGCUGGGACUGCGACACGGACCAGACUCCGACGGGAGGCAGCGGUGGGGAAUCUUAUACGAUGGGGGCUACCGUGAUCACGCCACGCGGCGUGAGUGAGGCAGGCCUUAGGGUUGCAAAGCUCUUUCAGAUGGGAAGAUAAUGACGGUACUGGGAGAAGAAGCCCCGGCUAACUCCGUG